rnacentral:rRNA from 1 species
GAUGAACGCUAGCGACAGGCCUAACACAUGCAAGUCGAGGGGCAUCGGGGGUGGAAGCUUGCUUCCGCCUGCCGGCGACCGGCGCACGGGUGAGUAACGCGUAUGCAACCUGCCCGGACCAGCGGGAUAACCCGGGGAAACCCGGCCUAAUACCGCACGGCGCCGCCGAGGGGCAUCCCCUGGCGGCUAAAGAAUCCUCGGGUCCGGAUGGGCAUGCGUGGCAUUAGCUUGUUGGCGGGGUAACGGCCCACCAAGGCGACGAUGCCUAGGGGUUCUGAGAGGAAGGUCCCCCACACUGGUACUGAGACACGGACCAG